CACGCGGCAUGGUGGGAGGGAGGCUGUGCUCUCAGGCUGUUUUUUUUAACUGGUUGUGUUGCAGUGUAGGUUGACCUCCAAAUCUUGGUUUUCCAAGAGUUUUGAUUAAAGGACUUUAAACUUGAUGGGCUUUUAUCUUUGGACAUUUCAAGCCUGUGGCAUUUGGAUUGUGUUUGGAGACAGUGAUUGCUUUAAUGGUGCACACAUGAAGCAGACCAGGCCUCAUAACUUCUAAUUACUCCAGCCAUUGCCAUAAGAUCACGGUGGUUCUUGGCCAAUGGCAAUUCAAGGCCUUGAAAGUCUUGUGCCACCAGAAUAAAACCAAUUAGUACACCUUGGAGCCCUCGAGUCUACAAACAACAUGAAUGCAGCUAGAGUUUGAAUAAAGAGGAAGAAACUGGCUUCCUACUGAAACCACCGAGGAGUCCCUGGGAGUGGCUGAUCGGGGUGGAAAGGGUUCCAACUCUGAAACAUCUCCAGAAAACAUGACUUUCAGUUCUACAAAG